rnacentral:rRNA from 1 species
ACACGGGGGGCGCAAGCGUUAUUCGGAAUUAUUGGGCGUAAAGCGCGUGCAGGCGGCCCAUUAAGUCAGAUGUGAAAGCCCUCGGCUCAACCAAGGAACUGCAUCUGAAACUACUGGGCUUGAGUACGGGAGAGGAGAGUGGAAUUCCCGGUGUAGAGGUGAAAUUCGUAGAUAUCGGGAAGAACACCGGUGGCGAAGGCGGCUCUCUGGACCGAUACUGACGCUGAGACGCGAAAGCGUGGGGAGCAAACAGGAUUAGAUACCCCAGUAGUCC